GAGGGUAUAGCUCAAGUGGUAGAGCACACACUUAGCAUGCAUAUGGUUCUGGGUUCAAUCCCCAGUACCUCCU
rfam:Camelus ferus unplaced genomic scaffold scaffold290, whole genome shotgun sequence.